UCACUUUCAUGCCCUACAUUC
rnacentral:siRNA from 1 species